rnacentral:rRNA from 1 species
GACGAACGUUGGCGGCGUGCUUAAUACAUGCAAGUCAACUGAAGCAGUGGUAGCAAUCUCGCUGUGGAGGUGGCGCACGGGUGAGUAACACGUAGGUAAUCUGCCUUCAGGUCUGGCAUAACUCCGGGAAACCGGGGCUAAUAGCAGAUGAUGCAGCGGCUCGACAUCGAGACAGUUGUUAAAGCUAUGGCGCCUGAAGAUGAGCCUGCGUCUGAUUAGCUAGUUGGCGGGGUAACGGCCCACCAAGGCAACGAUCAGUAGCUGGUCUGAGAGGAUGAUCAGCCACACUGGAACUGAGACACGGACCAGACUCCUACGGGAGGCAGCAGUAAGGAAUAUUGCGCAAUGGGAGAAAUCCUGAAGCAGCAACGCCGCGUGAGGGACGAAGGGCUUUGGCUUGUAAACCUCUGUAGAGAGAGAAAAAAAUCCCAAUCUUUGGGACAUGAUGGUAGCUCAAAAGUAAGCCCCGGCUAACUACGUG